rnacentral:rRNA from 1 species
CCUACGGGAGGCAGCAGUGAGGAAUAUUGGUCAAUGGCCGUAAGGCUGAACCAGCCAAGUCGCGUGAAGGAAGAAGGAUCUAUGGUUUGUAAACUUCUUUUAUAGGGGAAUAAAGGUAUCCACGUGUGGAUAUUUGCAUGUACCCUAUGAAUAAGCAUCGGCUAACUCCGUGCCAGCAGCCGCGGUAAUAAGGAGGAUGCGAGCGUUAUCCGGAUUUAUUGGGUUUAAAGGGUGCGUAGGUUGUUUUUUAAGUCAGAGGUGAAAGUUUGUGGCUCAACCAUAAAAUUGCCGUUGAAACUGGAAGACUUGAGUGUGUUUGAGGUAGGCGGAAUGCGUGGUGUAGCGGUGAAAUGCAUAGAUAUCACGAAGAACCCCGAUUGCGAAGGCAGCUUACUAAACUGUGACUGACAUUGAUGCUCGAAAGUGUGGGUAUCAAACAGGAUUAGAUACCCUAGUAGUC